rnacentral:rRNA from 1 species
UGUCUGGGAAACUGCCCGAUGGAGGGGGAUAACUACUGGAAACGGUUGCUAAUACCGCAUAAUGUCGCAUGACCAAAGAGGGGGACCUUCGGGCCUCUGGCCAUCGGAUGUGCCCAGAUGGGAUUAGCUAGUAGGUGGGGUAACGGCUCACCUAGGCGACGAUCCCUAGCUGGUCUGAGAGGAUGACCA